AAGCGGAAUAGCUCAGAGGUUCAGAGCGUCAGGCUCAUAACCUGAAGGUCCGACGAUCGAAACGUCGUUCCGCUUA
rnacentral:tRNA from 1 species